UACGGGAGGCAGCAGUGGGGAAUAUUGCACAAUGGGCGCAAGCCUGAUGCAGCCGUGCCGCGUGUAUGAAGAAGGCCUUCGGGUUGUAAAGUACUUUCAGUCGUGAGGAAGGUGUUAAGGUUAAUAACCUUAGCAAUUGACGUUAGCGACAGAAGAAGCACCGGCUAACUCCGUGCCAGCAGCCGCGGUAAUACGGAGGGUGCGAGCGUUAAUCGGAAUUACUGGGCGUAAAGGGCACGCAGGCGGUUAAUUAAGUUGGAUGUGAAUCCCCGGGCUUAACCUGGGAAUGGCAUUCAAGACUGGUUAGCUAGAGUCUUGUAGAGGGGGUAGAAUUCCAUGUGUAGCGGUGAAAUGCGUAGAGAUGUGGAGGAAUACCGGUGGCGAAGGCGGCCCCUGGACAAGACUGACGCUCAUGUGCGAAAGCGUGGGGAGCGAAACAGGGAUUAGAUACC
rnacentral:rRNA from 1 species